rnacentral:lncRNA from 1 species
AGGAAAUAUUUGUUGCAUGUUAACAAGUAAUUUUCCCUUCAGACAUAACCAGUCUUAAAUGAGAGUUUUUGACUGGGGCAAUAAUUCAUAUUUACCUCUGUGGAUUUGUGUAAUAUCAUUAUGAAAUGCUGCCAGAUGUGUUAUCUGCCUCACAGGGAUAUAAGAAUGUUAUAAGGAUUAAAUGAAAUAAUGUGUGUGAAAUUUACUUUGUUAGAGAAAAAAAACUAUAGUAGUAUUUAUUAUCACUAUCUUGAUUUCACAGAUGAGGAACCUGGAGCCCCACUGGGGACAUAACAACCCAGGUCACACAUGUGAGCUCUUCUGUCUUCUGGAGAACAUCACAAAGCUUAGUCAAAUUCAACAGCCUUCUGGAGCACCUGCUCAUGGACACAUACUCAACUGUGUAUUGGGAAUACCAAGGUGAAUGAAGACUUGACUGCAUGCAAUGAGGGUCUAAACGGGGGAUAACAAACACUCAUGCAUAUUUUAUGUGUUAAAUCCCACCGAGCACAAAAAUUAGAAGUACACGGCUUCACCUGCUAGAAAUAGGCUCCCAUCUCAUUUAUUUUUAUGUCAGUUGUUCUUCCAAUACUUUAUGUAAUUUAUUACUGCAUAAUUUAGAUCAAGACUUGAAGACAUAAAAAAAGCUGGAUAAAAGUGUGUGUCCUCAUCGCUAGUUAGUUACUGGUUUUUAAAAUGUUCUUCCUCCAGUGUGAGGAGGGUUAAAUUGAAAUCCUUCUCAAUCUCCUGAGAUAUGAUUCAUAUAUGUAUCUCUGAAGUACCGUGAGAAGGAUGGUGUCCAGUGCUUUUGCAGGUGGUUUUUGACUCAUGAACUGCUAUAUAACAUAUGCCCCGUUCAUAACUUCUCAACUCUGGUAAUGAGUAGAUGUCAUUAUUUGACCUUCCAGAACUUCUGAUCAAUAUUAGGCCAAUAUUAUUUUCUCUCUGGUUUCCCUUUAUCUUUUUUUAAUUUAAUUUUAUUUAUUUGGGGCUUUUUUGAGGACAAUUAGCCCUAAGCUAACAUCUGCCGCCAAUCCUCCUCUUUUUUUGCUGAGGAGGAUUGGCCCUGAGCAAACAUCUGUGCCCAUCUUCCUGUAUUUUAUGUGUAGGAUGCCUGCCACAGCAUGGCUUGAUAAGCAGUGCGAAGAUCCGUGUCCAGAUCCGAACCCGCCAACCCUGGGCUGCCAAACCUGAGCAUGCGAGCUUAACCACUAUACCACCAGGCUGGCGCUCCCUUAAUUUUUAAAAAAUGUAUAGCAAACACAAAAUAAAUAAUUACUUACUUGUUAACA